rnacentral:hammerhead_ribozyme from 1 species
AUUCAGCUGACGAGUUUCAAAUAGGACGAAACGUACGUCCUGGAU